rnacentral:rRNA from 1 species
GUCUAUGGCCAUACCACCCUGAACGUGCCUGAUCUCGUCUGAUCUCCGAAGCUAAGCAGGGUCGAGCCUGGUUAGUAAUUUUAAAAU